GCUUGUCUCAAAGAUUAAGCCAUGCAUGUCUAAGUAUAAACGAUUUUAUACGUGAAACUGCGAAUGGCUCAUUAUAUCAGUUAUAGUUUAUUUGAUGGUCUUACUACUUGGAUAACCGUAGUAAUUCUAGAGCUAAUACAUGCACAAAUUCCCGUCAGGGAUGUAUUUAUUAGAUUGAAACCAAUGCGGGGUAACCCGGUGUUUGGUGAUUCAUAAUAACUUUCGGAUCGCAUUUGCGAUGCAUCAUUCAAGUUUCUGCCCUAUCAGCUUUGGAUGGUAGGGUAUUGGCCUACCAUGGCAUUAACGGGUAACGGAGGAUUUGGGUUCGAUUCCGGAGAGGGAGCCUGAGAAAUGGCUACCACAUCCAAGGAAGGCAGCAGG
rnacentral:rRNA from 1 species